rnacentral:rRNA from 1 species
GACGAACGCUGGCGGCGCGCCUAACACAUGCAAGUCGAACGGAGAGAAAGACAGCUUGCUGGAUUUCUCUUAGUGGCGGACGGGUGAGUAACACGUGAGCAACCUGCCCCUCAGAGAGGGAUAACGUUUGGAAACGAACGCUAAUACCUCAUGACACUUUUGGUCGGCAUCGACCUUAAGUCAAAGAUUUAUCGCUGAGGGAUGGGAUCGUGUCCGAUUAGGUAGUUGGUGAGAUAACAGCCCACCAAGCCGACGAUCGGUAGCCGGACUGAGAGGUUGAACGGCCACAUUGGGACUGAGACACGGCCCAGACUCCUACGGGAGGCAGCAGUGGGGGAUAUUGCACAAUGGGGGAAACCCUGAUGCAGCGACGCCGCGUGAGGGAAGACGGUUUUCGGAUUGUAAACCUCUGUCUUCGGGGACGAACAAAUGACGGUACCCGAGGAGGAAGCCACGGCUAACUACGUGCCAGCAGCCGCGGUAAAAC